rnacentral:rRNA from 1 species
UACGUAGGGUGCAAGCGUUAUCCGGAAUUACUGGGCGUAAAGCGUGCGCAGGCGGCGCGUUAAGACAGGUGUGAAAGCCCCGAGCUUAACUUGGGAAUUGCGCUUGUGACUGGCGUGCUGGAGUGUGGCAGAGGGAGGUGGAAUUCCACGUGUAGCAGUGAAAUGCGUAGAGAUGUGGAGGAACACCGAUGGCGAAGGCAGCCUCCUGGGCCAGCACUGACGCUCAUGCACGAAAGCGUGGGGAGCAAACAGG